GACGAACGCUGGCGGCGUGCUUAACACAUGCAAGUCGAGCGGUAAGGCCCUUUCGGGGGUACACGAGCGGCGAACGGGUGAGUAACACGUGGGUGACCUGCCCUCAGCUCUGGGAUAAGCCUGGGAAACCGGGUCUAAUACUGGAUAUGACUCCAUGACGCAUGUUGUGGGGUGGAAAGCCUUGUGCGGCUGAGGAUGGGCCCGCGGCCUAUCAGCUUGUUGGUGGGGUGANGGCCUACCAAGGCGACGACGGGUAGCCGGCCUGAGAGGGCGACCGGCCACACUGGGACUGAGACACGGCCCAGACUCCUACGGGAGGCAGCAGUGGGGAAUCUUGCGCAAU
rnacentral:rRNA from 1 species